rnacentral:rRNA from 1 species
UAAGGAAUAUUGGACAAUGGACGCAAGUCUGAUCCAGCCAUGCCGCGUGAAGGAUUAAGGUCCUCUGGAUUGUAAACUUCUUUUAUAGGGGGCGAAAAAAGGGCAUUCUUGCUCACUUGACGGUACUCUAUGAAUAAGCACCGGCUAACUCCGUGCCAGCAGCCGCGGUAAUACGGAGGGUGCAAGCGUUAUCCGGAUUCACUGGGUUUAAAGGGUGCGUAGGCGGGUAAUUAAGUCAGUGGUGAAAUCUCGGAGCUUAACUCCGAAACUGCCAUUGAUACUAUUUAUCUUGAAUAUUGUGGAGGUUUGCGGAAUAUGUCAUGUAGCGGUGAAAUGCUUAGAUAUGACAUAGAACACCUAUUGCGAAGGCAGCAGGCUACACAUAUAUUGACGCUGAGGC